rfam:Hypsizygus marmoreus strain 51987-8 scaffold_1, whole genome shotgun sequence.
CCGACCUUAGCUCAGUUGGAAGAGCGCAAGACUGUAAUGGAUAACUGAUCAUCUUGAUGUCGCCUGUUCGAGCCAGGCAGGUCGGA